UCGGAAUUACUGGGCGUAAAGGGAGCGUAGGUGGCUCUAUAAGUCAGAUGUGAAAUCCCCGGGCUUAACCUGGGAACUGCAUCUGAAACUGUAGAGCUAGAGUAUGUGAGAGGAAGGUAGAAUUCCAGGUGUAGCGGUGAAAUGCGUAGAGAUCUGGAGGAAUACCGAUGGCGAAGGCAGCCUUCUGGCAUAAUACUGACACUGAGGCUCGAAAGCGUGGGUAGCAAACAGGAUUAGAUACCCUGGUAGUCCACGCCGUAAACGAUGUCUACUAGUCGUUGGGUCCCUUGAGGACUUAGUGACGCAGCUAACGCAAUAAGUAGACCGCCUGGGGAGUACGGCCGCAAGGUUAAAACUCAAAUGAAUUGACGGGGGCCCGCACAAGCGGUGGAGCAUGUGGUUUAAUUCGAUGCAACGCGAAGAACCUUACCUGGUCUUGACAUAUCUAGAAUCCUGCAGAGAUGCGGGAGUGCCUUCGGGAAUUAGAAUACAGGUGCUGCAUGGCUGUCGUCAGCUCGUGUCGUGAGAUGUUGGGUUAAGUCCCGCAACGAGCGCAACCCUUGUCCUUAGUUACCAGCGGGUUAAGCCGGGAACUCUAAGGAUACUGCCAGUGACAAACUGGAGGAAGGCGGGGACGACGUCAAGUCAUCAUGGCCCUUACGACCAGGGCUACACACGUGCUACAAUGGUAGGUACAGAGGGCAGCUACACAGCGAUGUGAUGCGAAUCUCAAAAAGCCUAUCGUAGUCCAGAUUGGAGUCUGCAACUCGACUCCAUGAAGUAGGAAUCGCUAGUAAUCGCGGAUCAGAAUGCCGCGGUGAAUACGUUCCCGGGCCUUGUACACACCGCCCGUCACACCAUGGGAGUUGA
rnacentral:rRNA from 2 species